GACGAACGCUGGCGGCGUGCUUAACACAUGCAAGUCGAACGGAAAGGCCUCUUUCGGGGGGUACUCGAGUGGCGAACGGGUGAGUAACACGUGAGUAACCUGCCCUUGACUUUGGGAUAACUUCAGGAAACUGGGGCUAAUACCGGAUAGGAGCUCCUGCUGCAUGGUGGGGGUUGGAAAGUUUCGGCGGUUGGGGAUGGACUCGCGGCUUAUCAGCUUGUUGGUGGGGUAGUGGCUUACCAAGGCUUUGACGGGUAGCCGGCCUGAGAGGGUGACCGGCCACAUUGGGACUGAGAUACGGCCCAGACUCCUACGGGAGGCAGCGGUGGGGAAUAUUGCACAAUGGGUGAAGCCUGAUGCAGCAACGCCGUGUGCGGGAUGACGGCCUUCGGGUUGUAAACCGCUUUCGCUCAUGACGAAGCUUUGUGUGACGGUAGUGGGUAAAGAAGCACCGGCUAACUACGUG
rnacentral:rRNA from 1 species